rnacentral:lncRNA from 1 species
CUACAUUUCCCAAGACCCCCUUCAGUCAACAUGUUUGAAUACUCACAUCAGAGCAGCAUUUUCUUGUUCAAUGAGUUGUUGCUUCUCCUCCAUGGAUUUGACACAAGCUUCAAAAACAACAACAACAAACAACUUUAAGAAGUUACCGGAGCAGUUUCCCAACCACCAUUAUGCUACAGAUUCCAGAAAAUUCCGAAGACUCUAUGUUCCAGCUCUGACGCGGCUCACCUUCCCCUCUCGAUUACUCACUUAAAUCCCUUCCUUCACCUCAUCAAGAAGCGUAUGAAUAAUAAAUCAUCUUUAAAAUU